CGACAUGUGAGACACACCCAAGUCUAGCGACGACGUCGUGACGUGUAUUAUGUUUGACAACAAAAACUCAAGAGAACAAGGGGCCUGCUAAUUGAAAAAUUAAGAUGUGGGAAUGUGUGUGGGAGUGGACCGUGCCAGAUGCCUUCUUCAACGAACAGAGGGCCUGUUAAUGGAAAAAAUAUGAAUGUGUGAUAGACUGGAUCAGAUGCCUUUUCAAAAGCAAGUGUUGAGUUAACUCGUCCUUUGCUGAAAAAUGUCACAUUACCCAAGUAUCCUGGAGUGAAGCUUUUGCCAUCGUAUAAUUUUCCCAUAAAAUGGGAACAUUUAAGUGUAGAGCGGUGGAAUUGUAUGUCAAUGAAUGGUCCCGUUAAUAGUGAUAUCACUCCCCGGAACAAAAGGAUGGAAGGCUGAACGAGAAUAGAGGAGUGGCGGUGAGUCCAUGGAGCAUGUACCGUCGGCCAUUUCCGUCCCCUCCGUUUGGGUCAUGCACUAGCCCAUCGAGAGAGCGCGUACAUGACUGACAAUACCCGCAAGACAAACGGUCCACUCAAGCACAAACCACGCUCAGACAGAAAUGUGCAAAAAAAAAAAAAGUUAUUAAAUUAAUUGCGGUCGUAAUCUCGUAAAAUAUGUGUCAGAAAAUUAUACGCUGUUCGAUUAACACAUAACACGGAUGUCAAAUAUGUAAUAAAAUCCUGAUCAAUAAAACAAUAACCAUGUUGUUAAAAGCAGCCGUUGAAAGGUGUUGCCAGCUCUGUGUUUCAGGGGUGAGCACCCCUUUUAAUAUAAACGGAUUUCAUCUUUCCACUGUGUCACCUAAAUCACUACAAUGUUUGUGUAUACAAUUAUAAUAAGUUAAUAAAUUGUAGCAAUGGAUGGAUUAGGAAUACUCUCAUCGACCCCAUAUAUCAGGCAUUGUCAUAGGCACAGAAAAUUCAUGUCUAACAAUCUGUUGAUUACGC